AAAUAUUAACAUUAAACAAAAUAUGAAAAUAAAAAUUAAAUAAAUUAAAUAAAACAUUAAAGAAUGUAAAAUAUAUUUUUUGGUAUUUUUAUGAAUAAAUAAAAUAUUUUUUAUUAAUUAAAUCAAAACAGAAUAAAAAAGAAUAAAAGAAUUGAAGGAAGUAAAUAAAAAGGAAAUAGUGAUGAUGGGCCUCGUGUGUGGUGGGGGCGGAUAGCAUAUCCAGCGUCAAGCCCAGCCCAGCAGAAAAAGAAAAAAA
rnacentral:lncRNA from 1 species